UUAGUACCAAAACAUAAUUAGUACCAAAACAUAAUUAGUACAAAAACAUAAUUAGUACCAAAACAUAAAGAGAAAUGUUUCAAAAAAAGAAAAACCUUAGAACAUACCCCUUAUUUCCACAUCCAUGUUUAAAUGUUAUGACACGUCAAUAAAUGGUAUGUUCAUUUGGAAAAGCGUUGAACAAUACAACAGGAACAUUGUGUGUGACUGUGUAGCCUGGAUUGUAACAGGAAACUGCAUUUGACAUUUGUUUGGUGUUGUAAUGGUAACUUUAGUUGGUAUAAAAGAUGAAUGGCAUGACAACGGGGUAGUGCAUCUGACUUGUGUACUGGUAUACACUGUAAUCACAGUUCCAACCUCUUUACAUCCACAUGGAUAGAGACUAGACUAUUUCUCCCAAAUAAUCAUUUCGGUGUUACUGACGUCAACUUGAGGCUGCGUGAAGUGUGAGCAAAACUGGUGAGAGAUUGUUGGUAAUAAAAUAAUCUCAUGUGGGGAUAAAGCAAAGAGAUCAUGUAUUUUGGGGGGAAAACAGUAAAAAUCUCUCAUUUGUUACAUGAUAUGCAGAUACAUGGGGAUUUUUACCAAGACCUCGAAGGCCUAUUAAAUGAAUAGUGUCAGAUUGAUAUUCUCUUAUGGCAGUAUUUACAUAGUCCAGUAUUAUUAUUAUUAUUUGAAUGAAUCCCAAAUGGCACCCUAUUCCAUAUAUAGUGCACUACUUUUGACCAGAGCCCUAUGGGGUUAGGAUGUCAUUUGGGAGGUACCCUUUGUAUCCACAUCCUGUAAGCCAGGACUGCCAUGCCAGCUGAGACCAGAACAGAUAGGCUCAGCUAACGUGAGAUCUCUGAGACCAGAACAGAUAGGCUCAGCUAACGUGAGAUCUCUGAGACCAGAACAGAGGCUCAGCUAACGUGAGAUCUCUGAGACCAGAACAGAGGCUCAGCUAACGUGAGAUCUCUGAGACCAGAACAGAGAGGCUCAGCUAACGUGAGAUCUCUGAGACCAGAACAGAUAGGCUCAGCUAACGUGAGAUCUCUGAGACCAGAACAGAAGGCUCAGCUAACGUGAGAUCUCUGAGACCAGAACAGAUAGGCUCAGCUAACGUGAGAUCUCUGAGACCAGAACAGAUAGGCUCAGCUAACGUGAGAUCUCUGAGACCAGAACAGAUAGGCUCAGCUAACGUGAGAUCUCUGAGACCAGAACAGAUAGGCUCAGCUAAGAGAUGAGAUCUGAGACCAGAACAGAUAGGCUCAGCUAACGUGAGAUCUCUGAGACCAGAACAGAUAGGCUCAGCUAACGUGAGAUCUCUGAGACCAGAACAGAUAGGCUCAGCUAACGUGAGAUCUCUGAGACCAGAACAGAUAGGCUCAGCUAACGUGAGAUCUCUGAGACCAGAACAGAUAG
ensembl:lncRNA